rnacentral:rRNA from 1 species
UACGUAGGGGGCUAGCGUUGUCCGGAAUCAUUGGGCGUAAAGAGCGUGUAGGCGGCCCGGUAAGUCCGCUGUAAAAGUCAAAGGCUCAACCUUUGAAUGUCAGUGGAUACUGUCGGGCUAGAGUCCGGAAGAGGCGAGUGGAACUCCUGGUGUAGCGGUGGAAUGCGCAGAUAUCAGGAGGAACACCGGUGGCGAAGGCGGGUCUCUGGGCCGAUACUGACGCUGAGGAGCGAAAGCGUGGGGAGCGAACAGG